UCUUUGUUUGCCUUUUUAGGGGAGGUCUUUGUUUGCUUGGAUUGAUGCGCACGACUGACACAAUUUACAACAUUUUUUGACUGACGGCAUAGACCAUAGUUUCAGUUUUACAAUGUUUCCAGAGAGAGUAUAAUACUGAUGCUCCAUUUAUUUCAGAGAAGAAAAAGGUUCCAUGAGGGUGUCUAUUACAAAAGUGGAGAAAGAGCUCGCCUACCAUGCAUGUUGCCUGGUCCGAUGAGCAGUGCUACGCCAAGUGCCCUGUCAGAGUGCAGCCACACAAUGCUGCCUGCUGUUGAGGACCCCGGAGACUGGACAGUUAGCUUGGCAACUUCCAGCCCCCCACCGCCUUUCUUGACAGCCACGGCACCCAUCUUUUCGUCUAUGCCUCAUUGGAUGCACUUCUAUUUGUGCUACCAAACUUUUUCACGAAAAGUGUAGUACCAGGUGGUGUGAUAUCAUGUCCUUAGCAACGCCCCCGAUGGAAUGACCACGACCAUGUUGUUGCCUGGAGUGUUUUUUCAUGAUGAUGUCGCUAUUCGCCAUCCCACAAUUUAUGCGGUGGAGCGUCAACGACCUCGGCGUGUUGCAUGAGAAGACCAUGAAUAUCG